GGCGGACGGGUGAGUAACGCGUGGAGAACCUGCCGUAUACUGGGGGAUAACACUUAGAAAUAGGUGCUAAUACCGCAUAAGCGCACAGCUUCGCAUGAAGCAGUGUGAAAAACUCCAGUGGUAUACGAUGGAUCCGCGUCUGAUUAGCUUGUUGGCGGGGUAAAGGCCCACCAAGGCGACGAUCAGUAGCCGGCCUGAGAGGGUGAACGGCCACAUUGGGACUGAGACACGGCCCAAACUCCUACGGGAGGCAGCAGUGGGGAAUAUUGCACAAUGGGGGAAACCCUGAUGCAGCGACGCCGCGUGAGUGAAGAAGUAUUUCGGUACGUAAAGCUCUAUCAGCAGGGAAGAAAUAAAGUCCUUCGGACUUUGGACGGUACCUGACUAAGAAGCCCCGGCUAACUACGUGCCAGCAGCCGCGGUAAUACGUAGGGGGCAAGCGUUAUCCGGAUUUACUGGGUGUAAAGGGAGCGUAGACGGCAGCGCAAGUCUGGAGUGAAAUCCCAUGGCUUAACCAUGGAACUGCUUUGGAAACUGUGCAGCUGGAGUGCAGGAGAGGUAAGCGGAAUUCCUAGUGUAGCGGUGAAAUGCGUAGAUAUUAGGAGGAACACCAGUGGCGAAGGCGGCUUACUGGACUGUAACUGACGUUGAGGCUCGAAAGCGUGGGGAGCAAACAGGAUUAGAUACCCUGGUAGUCCACGCUGUAAACGAU
rnacentral:rRNA from 1 species